rnacentral:rRNA from 1 species
CAAAAACAUGUCCUUUAGGAUUGAAUUUAAGGUCUAGCCUGCCCACUGAAUUAUUGAAUGGCCGCAGUAUUUUAACUGUGCAAAGGUAGCAUAAUCAUUAGUCUUUUAAUUGAAGGCUUGUAUGAAUGGUUGGACAAGAUAUAUAUUGUUUCGUGUAAAUUUAUAGAAUUUUAUUUUUUAGUUAAAAAGCUGAAAUUUAAUUAAAAGACGAGAAGACCCUAUAGAUCUUUAUAAUUGUUAAAUUUAAUUUAUGAAGAAUAUUUUAUUUUUAAUUUAUGCAAUUAUUUUAUUGGGGUGAUAGUAAGAUUUAUUUAACUCUUGUAUAAUUUAAUACAUAAAUUAAUGAUUGAUUGAUCCAGUAUUAUUGAUUAGUAAAAUAAGGUACCUUAGGGAUAACAGCGUAAUUUUUUUAGAGAGUUCAUAUCGAUAAAAAAUAUUGCGACCUCGAUGUUGGAUUAAGAGAUAGUUUUGGGCGCAGCCGUUCAAAUUUAAAGUCUGUUCGACUUUUUAAUUCUUACAUGAUCUGAGUUCAAACCGGA